UUGCCAGCCCGCUCAGAAACUUAAAGGAAUUGACGGGGCCCGCACAAGCGGAGGAGCAUGUGGUUUAAUUCGAUGAUACGCGAGGAACCUUACCUGGGCUCGAACGUAAGAUGACUGUAGGUGAAAGCUUACAUCUCUUCGGAGCAUUUUACGAGGUGCUGCAUGGUUGUCGUCAGCUCGUGCCGUGAGGUGUCGGGUUAAGUCCCAUAACGAGCGCAACCCUACCUUUAGUUGCCAUCAGGUAAUGCUGGGGACUCUAAAGGAACUGCCUACGCAAGUAGUGAGGAAGCGGGGAUGACGUCAAAUCAGCACGGCCCUUACGUCCAGGGCUACACACGUGCUACAAUGGCCGAUACAGAGGGCAGCUACCUGGUGACAGGAUGCAAAUCUCCAAAGUCGGUCUCAGUUCGGAUCGGAGUCUGCAACCCGACUCCGUGAAGUUGGAUUCGCUAGUAAUCGCGCAUCAGCCAUGGCGCGGUGAAUACGUUCCCGGGCCUU
rnacentral:rRNA from 1 species